ACGCCCUAAGAGGUUGUGCUCUUGGGGUGGUUGGAAGCGGCCGGUGGGCCGGCGUAUGGCGGCCAGGCCUGGGAAGCCACGAGGCUGCCUGACGCCGUGGGGUCACUCUUCCUGAAGCCACAAGUCACCAAGACUGGAAGGGAAGGUCGGGGGCUGCCAGGGGCCAACCUUAGGUAUCACUGGUGGCGGUGGGCAAACCCACCAGACCAAGGGGACCGCCGCUGAGGACAGGCGAGGAGAAGAAAAUGUCUAGGGCCUGGCGGUAGAGAGCCAGGCCCCGAGGAGAGACAGGGCUCGCUGCCCCGGUGCAGAGGAGCAGUCCCGACGGAUAAGGAGUUGAGGCCCCAGGGAUGCUGCGCCCUGUCGAGCUAGAAGGGAUGGGCCACCAGAGUCUGAAAACCCCAGAUCACUUAUGUGAAAGGGUUCAAAGCUGAAACCGUCACAGAACAGAGUGGGAUGAAACACCUCAGAAGUGCGGCCAGACAUUUGAAGAACUGGCUGACACAGGAGGCAGCUGGUGCGCCUGGCCCCAGGGACCCGAGGAGCCCGGUGCGGGCCUUGCGCAAAUAGCCCCAGACCUUUCCGGCCAAGCUGCACCCAGCCCCGUCGCCAGAUCAGCUGCGCCAAAACCUUAGCGAUGCCCCGACGUGACCAAGCUCGCGCCACCAACUCUGGGAGCCUGUAGGGGUACCCCCUAAGACCCCGUACCUUCUCUGCCAGCCCUCCAAAGCCCUCCCUGCUCACCUUGUGCCCGUGUCCCAGAGGCAAGCGGGGGACCAUGGCUCCCUUGUCUCUGCUCUGUUUCCCUUGAGCUCCUGGUAGCUGCCCGCGGGGCUUCUCAGGAAGCGUGGUCCCGUGCCUCUGCCCCGGCCGAGCUGGGUGAGCUCCCCCCAGCCCCCACCGCCAGUCCUCUGCUCUGAUCACAGGUCGCGCUUCUCCUACAUGGUGCUCACGAUCUCAUGGAACAUACUGGCCGGACGCCUAGCUUCCCCUGCGGACGGAACCCCAGAGGGCGGGGCCUGCCCUUCUCACACACUCAGCACAGCACAGGCAGUGAGGGCGCAGAGUUGCUGGCUGGAUGGACGGAUGGAUGGACCAUCCAGAAGGAUUUGGACAGUUGGGACAUGAAAAAGGCAACUGAAGGGCUCUCACAAGUACAGAGUGGCCUUAUGAUAGUGCACAGACCGGGCUCGGGGAUGGGCGGCAUCCUGGAGUCUACGGAGAGCAGCUGCAAAGGGGAAGCUUCCUCCUUCCUGUCAGAGAAACGCAUUUCCCAAACACAUUCCCCUGCAAAGCUGUGAACCCGUCCCAUCAUAGCAGCCUCAUGCAGAGGGGGUGCGGAAUUCUCUGGGCUUGAGGACACCCCCUGAGCCCGUCUGUGGUCCUCGGCAGGGUCUGAUCUGGCUCGACAGGCACGGGGAGGGGGACGGAGGGGCCUCUGGUGCCCGGCUCUGCCAGGUCUGCAGUGGCUUUGUGCUGGGCAGGUCGUCCUAGUUCUGCCAGCCAGGCCUGGGUGGCCCCUGCAGGCAGGGUACCAGGCAGUACAGGGCCUGGCGAGUGAGACAAGGCCAAGGGCACCGAGAGGCCGAGAGGACAAUGAAGAACGGGGCCUUGGCUACCAGACAGCACGGGUCAAAGUCCAUGGCUUUGGAGACCAUGUUGGGGGUGGGGUGGGGGAGAUAGUGGGCCUCCUGGUCCAGUUCUGUGGCCAGGCACCCCUAGCCCUCUCCGCUUCUGAGCGCGCCCCACCCCCGGCGCGGUUAUAAUGCCAACUGCCACCCACUGCUCUCGCCCGUAGCCUUUCCCCCUGUCUCAGGAAAACAACGUGACUAUCCUAGCCAAGGCCAACCUUCUGCUUGUGGCUUCUGCCUGCCCUGGCCUCCUCCUCACCACCUGCUCAGCCCUGGGCACACUAAAGGGGCAGGAAUCCCUUCCAUGAGGUAUUUCCUCCAGUGGGAGAGCAAGGUAGCGUGUUAGAAAGUGCUGGGUUCUGUGCACUCGCACUCGGGCAGAGCAGGAGGAGGAGUGGGGGGGAACCAGAAGACAGGCUGCAGAUUUAAACAGGGGCCCCCAGGCUCCUUCCCCUCUGGAUCUGGGCCCCGGGCUUCUCUACCUUUGGCACUGCUGCUGUUUGGGGCUGGACCGCUGUCCUGCAUGCUGUGGGGUAUCUGGCAGCGUCCCCUGGCCUCUACCCCCGGAGGCUGGCAACCACCCUCUGCCUGUGGUAACAACCAAAGCUGUCUCCAGAUACUACCUGGCAUCCUUUUGGGGGGAAUCCAGGCACCACUGGAAGACUACAGUUAGCUUACACAGGUUUUACCUUGACUUCAUGAGAAGAAAUAAAAGACAAAAAGAUUUUACACAUCACCUGACCUGGACUUGAUCCUGCUGCCCCAGGGUAGCUGGGAUGUAAAGAGAGCCUCUGCCCUUGCAUGGGUCCUGGUGAUGGAGGUUGUUUGACCUGGAGGCUGAUCGACAUGGUGGGAAGAGCUGUAGGUCAGUGUGCAUCAUGGGCACCCGAGCAUAGACAGAUCUCUGAGCUGCACGUGAGGCCCUGGGAGGCCUUGGAGCCAGUGUGACCGCAGCAGGGCACGCAUGCCCCGCCCAUGGACUGUGGUCCCCGAAGCCGCUGUCCAACAGAAGGAACCAGGCUUCUCGUGAAAAGAGCUUAUUCCUAGGCCGAGGCGAGGAGCGAGGAGCACAGCGUUGCGGCAGAAGGUAAGGAAGAGCUCCAAAGUCUAAAUGGGAGCCAUGGCAGGGGGCACAGGUGCCCCCGAGAGUGCUCCUGGGGACCCAGAGUAAAACCGUCUGACUGACAAGCUAGCACUGGAUUCUGAUCCCCGAGUCCUCACUGUCGUAAGUAACUGAACAAAUGGAGAGAUGUGUACAAGAGGCAGAUGUCUUGCAUGGAGAAUUCCAAAGAAUAUAUUACAGGAUUUUGUGUCCCCUUAGUGCCCGCUGUUCUUGGUCACACGGGUUCGAAGAAUGCGGAGGUAGACCAGAUGGAGGGUGGUGGGCAGCAGAGCAAAGUUGACGGAGUGAGAGUGUAAAGCUCCUGGAGAGGGAAGGGGCUGGCGUGGGCAGCCCCUGGAGUUUCUAAGUUUAGGGGUUUUUACGAGCUCUUCUGCGGAACUAUCUUAAACAAUCAGGGUGUGGCCAGUCGUGCCGAGCGGGGCUUUGGUCACGUAUCUGUCUAUCUAUUAGGUUCAUGUCUACAUGCUGAUGGUCUUUUUUUUUUUUUUUUUUUUUUUUGCUGACGUCAAUGGGCUUGGGUCUUAACUGCCCCUUGCCUGUGAUAUUGACAGAUGCUUUUGUGGUUCAUUGUCUUAUUUUAGGGCGUUUUACAGAAGUCAUUUCUGCAAAGGCUGCAAAACAGAAUGUCCGUGCGGUCCUGUCCAAGUUGCAGAACAGGACGUCAGCACUGUUUGAUCUUAGCUGUCCUGACUCCUUAUUUCCUUGUUAGGGACCUUAGCCUGACUCCCUGACUGUCCAACUCACUCCUCACAAAUUCAUGUAAGACCCGCUUAAGAAGUGGGGCCGUAACUACCCAUCCCUUCAGUCUGGGCACCGCUCUGGGACUUGUUUCCAGGGCGCAGUGUGCAACCCGGGCGGAGGGGAACGCUGCACACAAGUCGGGGCCAAGGUUCCCAUCGCCAGCGACAGUCCGCUGAGAGCCCAGACCCAGACAGGAUGUGAUGAGGAGAUCUUCAUCAUGUCGGUGAGCCCCCACCCAAGCCCAUCACCCCGAGCGCAUCACCCCGAUCCAAGAACGAACCAA